rnacentral:tRNA from 1 species
GCCCGUAUAGCUCAGCUGGCAGAGCACCUGCUUUGUAACCAGGGGGCCGGGGGUUCGAUCCCUCCUGCGGGCC